AUUGAACGCUGGCGGCAGGCUUAACACAUGCAAGUCGAGCGAGUGGCGGACGGGUGAGUAAUGUCUGGGAAACUGCCUGAUGGAGGGGGCUAACUACUGGAAACGGUAGCUAAUACCGCAUACCAUCAGAUGUGCCCAGAUGGGAUUAGCUAGUAGGUGGGGUAAUGGCUCACCUAGGCGACGAUCCCUAGCUGGUCUGAGAGGAUGACCAGCCACACUGGAACUGAGACACGGUCCAGACUCCUACGGGAGGAAGCAGUGGGGAAUAUUGCACAAUGGGCGCAAGCCUGAUGCAGCCAUGCCGCGUGUGUGAAGAAGGCCUUCGGGUUGUAAAGUACUUUCAGCGGGGAGGCGUGACUCGCAGAAGAAGCACCGGCUAACUCCGUGCCAGCAGCCGCGGUAAUAC
rnacentral:rRNA from 1 species